UAUCAUAAAAGGGUGUUCUUUCAUCUUCUCUAAUUCCUGAGGGCUUGACUGCUCUCUAAAGGAAUGAAAUUCGAAUGUCCUGUUUGAAGGAGGUGACACAUCUCUGUGUCUUAGAUUUGGACAAAGAAACUGUUCAUAAUCUUUGGUAAAAUAAUCUACAACUACUUAGAAACAGCCUCAGGAACUGCAUCUCUCUUUUGAGGUUUCCCAGCAAAAAUCCCCACCACAUACUGCUUGUACAUUUCUGUCUAUAGACACGUCCCUGUUCAGACCAUCACCUUCGCUCUUCCACUUUUAUUGGAUAAGUGCAGCUGUGAAGAACCAAAAACAAUACAGACUGGGAAAGAACAAUGGAGAUUCUCGAAUUCUAAAGCUGUACCAUAAUUUCUAGUUUCACUUCUCCUCUCUUCCCCGCCUCCCCCAGUCUCCUAUCCAAUUUGCAGGACCACGUGUGCGGUUCUGCAUCCCACAGUCUCUUCUCGAGUUUCUUAUACAGUUUUUGUUUUUUUCCUCUCAAGUAGUCAGGGAAAAAAAAAUGCCGAGGGGGAAAAAGGCCUGAAAUCGAAUUGCAGAUCCACCAGGCAGAGCUAUAGGUCGCGCCUGCACACAGUACCAGCUCCCAGAGUCUCCCAGGACUUCUAGGAGACUGCCUCAAAAUACACCAGCGUCCUAGGCUUGAGAAACGAGAUAAGCCUUGCUAGAUUUCCGUAGAGUGAAGGUGAAAUCGACGAGAGAAAACCCUUCUACCUGAGGUGGUGACCCUACACCCAGGCAGGACUGUAAAUCCACGCUGUUUGCCUGUGACUGAUUUGGGAUUUGGAUUUCUGAUCUGGCUGAGUGAUGUGUAAAAACCUCAAGUAGUCAACAGCUCCCUAUUGGCUAUGCAUCUGAGGGGCUCAAGAGCAUUGUUUAUUCCAGCAAGUGUCUGGAAUACAUUAUACUGGAUGAAUUGGCUCCUGCUACUCCCGUUUUGGAGAAUAUGAAGAAUUUUAUACUGUGCUAAAAUAAAUGUACUUUGUGCAAAUAACUUUCCUAAAUAAAAAAUUUUGAAUAUGACUCUAUCUUCUGAAUCCACUACUGCCAAUAUUUUAAACAUAUGGCCUUUCUGAAAGAGUAGUGAUGAAAUAAUUCUCCACACCUUCAAAUUCAGAAACUCGUUCAACAUUUAGAUCGGUUUUUAUCCAAGGCCAUAUGAAAGUGGGUUUCCCUAAAAAAAUAAAAUGGUCAGAUAUUUGGGUUGAGAACUGUUCUCUCAAACUUUAAGAAUACUAGGAUAAAGUAUCAAAAUAAUUCUUCUAUUAAUACAUAAAAAUUUUAGGUGAUA
rnacentral:lncRNA from 1 species